GAUGAACGCUGGCGGCGUGCCUAAUACAUGCAAGUCGAGCGAACGGACGAGAAGCUUGCUUUUCUGAUGUUAGCGGCGGACGGGUGAGUAACACGUGGAUAACCUACCUAUAAGACUGGGAUAACUUCGGGAAACCGGAGCUAAUACCGGAUAAUAUUUUGAACCGCGUGGUUCAAAAGUGAAAGACGGUCUUGCUGUCACUUAUAGAUGGAUCCGCGCUGCAUUAGCUAGUUGGUAAGGUAACGGCUUACCAAGGCAACGAUGCAUAGCCGACCUGAGAGGGUGAUCGGCCACACUGGAACUGAGACACGGUCCAGACUGCUACGGGAGGCAGCAGUAGGGAAUCUUCCGCAAUGGGCGAAAGCCUGACGGAGCAACGCCGCGUGAGUGAUGAAGGUCUUCGGAUCGUAAAACUCUGUUAUUAGGGAAGAACAUAUGUGUAAGUAACUGUGCACAUCUUGACGGUACCUAAUCAGAAAGCCACGGCUAACUACGUG
rnacentral:rRNA from 1 species